GGGGAGAUUGAAUCCAGCGGCAGAUCCGAGAUUGACUGGCCGAAGUAAAAGCUGCUGUCGGCGGGGGAGAGAAUCAUAAAGCUCCCGCUGACAGAGUCCGCUUUCACUGAAGCACAUUGUCAAAGAAGCGCUGUAUUUUUAAAUAAACUGCCGAUUCGAGUUUAAAAUAACUACAUUCUCGCCUGAAAUACUCUUAAAACUACAUUUUGUGACACAUUAGAUGAUAUUUUUUUAAACUUGCGGGUCUGCAAAGCGGGGAUUGUCCAUUGACUUUCGCUUAGCAUUAGCAGGCAGCCAGCAGAUUUGAAUUCGUGUUGUCCAAUAGGAUUUUGCCCGCGCCGUGCAUUCAUAAUGCCAGCUGAUUACGUGCGACGGUUAAUCUCCAGCUGUUGCACUGUUCUGACGCUCUUCUCGCCGCCGAUGGAGGAUGGACCUGAAGGACUCAAAGAAGCUGGAAUACGUUCGUGAAGACGAAGCACAGACAUUUGCAGAAAAUGAAGUGGACGAGGAAGCAGUAGAGUGUAAUAACGUGAUUCCUGCAAUUGGUGAGGAUGCAUCAUCAUUUGAGGGUAAUGCGAAUGUCCUGCGUAUCCAGUGAAAUAAGUCAUGGUGAACCUGACUGAAUGCAUUCAUCAACCAUCUCCAACCAAGUCAGAGCUUCAAGGACAGCUUGUGCUAAAGGUACCUGAGCUUGAUUAAGAAAAAAAGCAUCUCCACUGGCCAAAGUCUACAAAAAAGCAGGAGAAUAGAAGUUUGCAGAUGAUCUAACAGGUGGUGCAGUGGGUAGCACAAUCGCCUCACAUCAAGAAGGUUGCUGGUUCGUGACUCGGCUGGGUCAGUUGGCAUUUCUGUGUGGAGUUUGCAUGUUCUCCCCAUGUUGACGUGGGUUUCCUCCAGGUGCUCCGGUUUCCUCCACAAGUCCAAGUCCAACAAGUCCAAAGACGUGCUACAGGUGAAUUGGUGGGAUGAUGAUGAUGCUCCCUACCCACCUCUACAGAUGGUUGAAAAUCCUUUGCAAAGUGUUGGAGAAUAGGAGUUAAAAGGCAUUAUUACAUCCUUCCCCGUUUACUGUGUUUUCAACUUGGCUUAUCCACGCUACAUAAAGAAUGCAAAGGAUGAACAUCAGCAACUCCCCGAGAUGGAGCAACAAUUUAAAUUUGAACAUCAGCAACGGUGUGAAGAUGGAGAUCCAAAAUUACAAGAAAAACAACUCAGUGCAGCUGUCCGAGAGAACUGGUAUUACUGGGUCUGCAUCAAACAGCAAUGCUUGGAUCUUUGCAUUUACUUUUUUGCAUGCGUUUCGAGUCUGCAUCAGUAUUUUAAGACUAGCAGCUAUAGACAUUUCAAUAACAUUGCCCAAAUCAACUGAGAAGCACAAGAUGACACAAUGCUAAGAAUUUUUUCUGCCCAACAUCCUUGAUGAGAUUGACGCAUUCAGGUGUUCAAAUUGAACUCUUUUUGUGUGCAUGUGAGACUGCUAAUGGAGAAGAAAUGACUCUUUCCUAAUGAAAUACAUUUUAAAUGUCAAUACUGCACUGGUUUCUGUGUGGCAAGUUUAUAAUACUGCUGUUGUAUGAUUCAUAGUUCCAUGCAAAUACACUAGGAGUUGACUUUGAAUGGGGUGUUAUAAACCAAGACAGAUGGACUUUCAGGCUCUUUAAACAUACUCUGCUGAUAAACUGUUUAAGAAUGUUUAGAAAUUUUAAAUCAAAUGUGUAAUACUGUUUGAUCAAAAGUGUUUUUGAGAUCUAAAAUGAUUAAGGGUAUACAGUAAGUUUCAAUUUACUGUAUGGAAAUAGAUUGCUUUGAGAUUCUUGAUGCUUUUAGAAAAAUGUAGAAUGCAGUGCACUAACAAAAAUAUACUUCAUGAGGUCUAGUGCUGUUUUAGAAAGAUUACUUUGUUACAUUGGUAAAAAUGCUCAGUGAAAUGGGAUGUACUGGUGUUAAAAAAAAUAACAUUAAGCUUUUUUGCUGUUUCAUAAAAUGUUUUAAUGUUUAAGCAGCAAUUUUUUUAAGUUUAUGCAUCUGGUAUGACAUUGUGAUAGUUUAAAACUUUCAUCCUCUAAAAAGGUGACAAUGUAAUUUUUUUUGAAUCUUUCAAUGAGUGUUUGUGAUAAAAGGUUACAAGUAUAAAAGUACAAUUAUCGUGCAGUUUGUACUCAUGGAAAAAUAUUGCUUUUUAUUAUUUUAAAAUGAUGUAAUGUUUAAACAUUCAUCCUGUAAAAAUGUUGAUAUUUAAUAUGUUUAAUAAAUGUGAUAAAUGAAA